rnacentral:rRNA from 1 species
AGAGUUUGAUCAUGGCUCAGGACGAACGCUGGCGGCGUGCCUAAUACAUGCAAGUCGAACGAAACUUUCUUACACCGAAUGCUUGCAUUCACCGUAAGAAGUUGAGUGGCGGACGGGUGAGUAACACGUGGGUAACCUGCCUAAAAGAAGGGGAUAACACUUGGAAACAGGUGCUAAUACCGUAUAUCUCUAAGGAUCGCAUGAUCCUUAGAUGAAAGAUGGUUCUGCUAUCGCUUUUAGAUGGACCCGCGGCGUAUUAACUAGUUGGUGGGGUAACGGCCUACCAAGGUGAUGAUACGUAGCCGAACUGAGAGGUUGAUCGGCCACAUUGGGACUGAGACACGGCCCAAACUCCUACGGGAGGCAGCAGUAGGGAAUCUUCCACAAUGGACGCAAGUCUGAUGGAGCAACGCCGCGUGAGUGAAGAAGGUCUUCGGAUCGUAAAACUCUGUUGUUAGAGAAGAACACGAGUGAGAGUAACUGUUCAUUCGAUGACGGUAUCUAACCAGCAAGUCACGGCUAACUACGUGCCAGCAGCCGCGGUAAUACGUAGGUGGCAAGCGUUGUCCGGAUUUAUUGGGCGUAAAGGGAACGCAGGCGGUCUUUUAAGUCUGAUGUGAAAGCCUUCGGCUUAACCGGAGUAGUGCAUUGGAAACUGGAAGACUUGAGUGCAGAAGAGGAGAGUGGAACUCCAUGUGUAGCGGUGAAAUGCGUAGAUAUAUGGAAGAACACCAGUGGCGAAAGCGGCUCUCUGGUCUGUAACUGACGUUGAGGUUCGAAAGCGUGGGUAGCAAACAGGAUUAGAUACCCUGGUAGUC